rnacentral:tRNA from 1 species
GGGGGCAUAGCUCAGUGGUAGAUCAUCUGCUCUGCAUGCAGAAGGUCCCAGGUUCAAUCCUCAACAUCUCCA